GUGUCAGCCGCCGCGGUAAGACAGAGGUGCCAAGCGUUAGGCGGAAUCACUGGGCUUAAAGCGUGUGUAGGCGGAUCGAUAAGUACUUUGUGAAAUCCCACGGCUCAACCGUGGAACUGCUCGGUAUACUGUCGAUCUUGAGCCACUUAGAGGCAACUGGAACAAACGGUGGAGCGGUGAAAUGCGUAGAUAUCGUUUGGAACGCCAAAGGUGAAAACAGGUUGCUGGGAGUGUGCUGACGCUGAGACACGAAAGCCAGGGGAGCAAACGGGAUUAGAAACCCUCGUAGUCC
rnacentral:rRNA from 1 species